rnacentral:lncRNA from 1 species
ACCGCCCCGCUUUGUUAAGAAUGCUGGGUGACCUGACUCUGCGGAAACCACAGAGAAACUGCAGCCAUUUGCUUGCCAAGAAUGCUGUCCUUGAGAGAAGUCAUGGUUCGUUAUGACAUUGAUGGUGGUGUUGCCACUUGAACUAGAUAUGCCUUGGUCCAUUAUGGUCUUGAUAGCAGUGUCACCGUAUGAACCAACUGUGCUCUGGUCCAUUGUGAUAUUGAUGGCACCACUGCUACUUGUAGAAGACAUGCCAUGGUCCCUUCUGAUAUUGGCGAUAUCGCUGCUACUUGAACUAGCUUUGCCCUGAUCCAUUAUAUUAAAGUUUGAGCAAGUUCGAAAUAUCUAUGUAAAACCAUGUAAAAAUUCUUCAAUAAUAAUAAUAAUACAACAAAUUGAGCGGGUAAAUUUUAGCGGAGAAAACUCACUGCGUUAAAGAUGUAUUAAAAUUUAUUUAGAAAGAUUAAAAUUUCGUUAUUAAAUAUAAAGAAUCACGCUAAAAUUUUUAGUGUUAUAAUUUUUAAUUUAUAAUCAUGCAGUAGUGAAUUUGAAUUUUUAAUUUACAACGAUAUAAUAGUGAAUUUAAAUUUUAUUAUUAAAUAUUCUAGCGAUAAAUUUUAUUCUCAAUAAAAAAUUAAUUUUGUAUAACGUGAUAAUAAAGAAUAUAAUCUCUUUAUUAUUUAAACAAGACAAAAAUUUAAUAUUAAAGUUAAAUAAAAAAAUUGUUUACACUAAAUUUAUAUCGAACAAUAACGUAAAAUAAUAAUUAAAUUUACAUAAAAUUUUAUAAAUUUAUAUUAUAGAACGAUAUAGAUUUAAUGUAAAUUAAGAAUUGAUCGUAGAGUUAAUUCAACUAACCUGAAUUGUUGGAUGAGGGGAGGAAGUUACUUUCUCGGCAUGCUUUAAAAAAAAGCCAUUAACUAGAAUAUCAACAUCUGCAGGUGGACCUUCUAUGAAAAUCACCACCUUUUUAAGAUAACCAUUAAGAAGGAACCUCCCUUUGAGUUGUACCCACUCCUUAUCUGUUACUUGCCGACUACAAAUCCAAAAAAACAAUUAAAAAAUAUAGAAUUUGAUUUGAUUGAUGAAAAUAAUAGAGAUGAUAUAAAUGAAUAAAACCUAAAACCUCACAUUUCUACAUCAUAGGUAUAAAAAUCUAUAUAAUCUAUAUCUAUAUAAAUAUAAUAAAAUUCAAGUCUAAAAUAAUUUUUAUUAAAGGUGAUAAGUGUUUUUUUUUUUUUUUUUUUUUNNGGUUGGGGGAGUCGAAUCUUAGACCUUUCAAGGUUACAGGAUGCACUUUCCACCAGGCUAAGCCUUGGAGUGCGAUAAAUAUCUUUCUUUUAUUUUUUUUUUAGUCCAUUUCGCCCCAAGUGACUUUUCACUUUAACGAAAUAAAGUUAAUGAUGAUAUAUUCUUUACGGAAUAAUAAUUAAUUCCUAAAGGAAAUUUUUUUAUAAUAUUUGAUUAAUAUUGAAAAUGAGGGUAAUUAUUACUCUAUUAAUUUUUACUAUGAUAUAAUAAAAUAAUAAAUAAAAAAAUUGAAAGGUUGAAAUUUAACUUUUAAAUGUGAGAUUCACCUGUUAUGUUUCGGAAGAAAUUUUAAAAAUAUCGCAUCCAUAAUUUACGAUAAAUCGAAAUUGUAUAUAAUAAUUAGAAUGAAAUUAUUAAAUAAUUUAUAUUAACUAUUUUAAAUUAAAUAAAAAAUGAGUUCAAAAAUUAUUUAGAUCAGUUCGGAUCGAACUGUUUCGAUUAGUAUCAGAGCCACUUUAGAAAGGUCCAAUCUUGAUUUAACAAUUAUAUUCGAUUCAAUUAUGAUAUUCUCUCUCAAUAAUUUCAGAUCAGGAAUUUAAGACAAAUUGAAAUCGUAUUAAAUAGUUAGUAUGAAACUAUUAAAUAAUUUGAGUUAACCAUUUUAAAUCAAAUAAAAAAUAAAUUUAAAAAUUAUUUAAAUCAGUUUAAACCGAACUGAUUUAUAUAAUAUCAUUUCAGAUAUUGCGGUAGGAGAGUCUGUACAAUAAAUAUACACUCACUAAAUUGAUAUAUUAUCGUAGUGUAAAUUUUAAUUCAAAAAAUCGACCAUAACUAAAUGAGAUUAAUUAUUUGUAGGAAUAAAAAUUUAAAAUUCUAAUUAUAAAAUGCUAUAGGUAUUUGGGCGUACAAAUUUUAUUUAAUAAUUUUUAAUUAAAUUAAUUUUAUUAAAUAAACUCAUUUAACAUGAAUUGAUCAAUUAAAAAAAAUUACAUGUCACUUAACUAAAAGAAACAAAUUAACUAAUAAAAUAGGCAAUGGAGAUUCUCCUUUCAAAUCUCCUAUAAAUAGAGAGGCUCUGCCCCACAGAAAAACUAGGAAGAUCAAGUUUAAACUAUAAAAGCAAAGGUCUUCUUUAUCGAUUUAAGAACAAAAUUAGAACAAAAAUUUCAAAUUCUUGAAUAGCAUAAAUUAAAUGAUUGAAUUUUUUUAUUUUAAAAAAUUUAUUAUUGGAGUCCGAACUCAUUUUUUUUUAUUUAAUUGAUAUUUUUUAAUUUCAGUUAUGAAAUUUAUGCGUAUACUAUUACCUCCUUUGACUCUAUAGCAGAUGUAGUAGUGGAACUUUAGAUUUUCUAUCUUAUAUUAUUCCAACUAAGUCCUAAAAGCAUCCACCCAACAUAGAUAAGUGUAGUUCAUAAAUAAAGUCAUGUGAACAAAGGGCUGAAUUAAGAAAAUGCUGUUUGCAGUGAUUCAAGGUGAUGAAAGAAUAAUAUAUACGGAGAUUAUUAGAGGGAAAAAGAGCUAACUUGGCAAUGCCUAUGUAUUCUUCUCGGAGAUCUGUCGUUUGGACGCAUAAAGUAACUCGCACAUCAGCACUGCUGACAUUGUUGCCAAAGAUCCGAACGACAGCAAUGGCCUCAUAAGCUAGCUUUGCCUGUACUUUUCCAGUUAUCUCCUGCUCGAUUCCGUUCCAGCACUGUGUACGUUCAGUUGCACAUGCAAAUACUUUUCCAAACUGGGGAACAAUUUUCCCACAAGCCAAUGAUUCAUGUAAGACAAGCUUGCAGCCUCUUCCAGACCACUUGUUCAGGCCAUCCUCAAAUUUAGGAUUUGCCAUGAUGUUCCCUUCUCCAUAUCCAAUGUCCACAAAUUGAUAAUUACUUGUUUCCUUUUGAUAACUUGUUUCCUCUUGAUAGCUUGUUUCCAUUUGAUAGCUGGUUUCCUUUUGAUAGCUUGUUUCCUUUUGAUAGCUUGUUUCCUUUCCAUAUCAAAAUGAAAAUUUUUUUACAAAUUUAUCAUCACAAAAAAGUACAAAUAAAAUUAAUAAAUAGGUUUAAGAAGAAAAAUUACAUAGAAUUCACUUGGAGGGGAGCUGGUAAUAACAACUGAUUGUAUAAGCAAGUCCACUGCAGGAGAAGGACCUUCCAAGUAAAACACGACACGAUCAGGGUUCGUUGGGAGGGAGAAUUUUCCUUCCAACUUUUCCCACUUUUCCUUUGACAGAGAAAUUCUGCAGGGAUAAGUUCCAUUAAGACAAUCUGUAUGUUUCAUUUAAGGAAGAAAUGCAAUAAAGUGAAGCAACAAAUCUAUUACCUUCCAAUGAACAAAUAGUCCGUUGGGGAAUUUCGAUAUUCCACUCUCAAAGUAGCUUGUACAUCAGUGGUUCCCUGAAUAUUUCCUGAUACACCAACAUAUGCAGUAACAUAAUAAGUGGAACCUGGAGAAACAAUGCUUGUGAUAUCUUGCUCCAAGCCCUGCCAACUUUCUGUUCGAUUUGUGACAACUGCAUAAUGACCACCCCGCUUUGUUAAGAAUGCUGGGUGACCUGACUCUGCGGAAACCACAGAGAAAAUACAGCCAUUUGCGUGCCAAGAAUGCAGUCCUUGAGAGAAGUCAUGGUUCGAUAUGACAUUGAUGGUGGUGUUGCCACUUGAACCAGACAUGCCUUGGUCCAUUAUGGUCUUGAUUGCAGUGUCACCAUAUGAACCACCUGUGCUCUGAUCCAUUGUGAUAUGGAUGGCACCGCUGCUAC